GACUUUGGGCCUGGCCAUCGGCUGACCCUGGGGAGCAGGGCUGCCUGGGCAGAGUGUGGACCCAGGGAAACAGGUAAGGGGUCCCAGCAGUGCCGGUUGGGGAGCUGAGAUCACCAGGCUGGUCGUGCCCACAGGACGAGGCGUCUCCCACACAGCGCCUCACCGAGGGGGGGUUCCUAUGUUUAUUCCACCAUCGUUCCCCGAGGGUCCCUGCAGGUGCCAGAGAGAAGAGGAAGCAUCUGAAUGGCUUAUCUAGACCAGCCAGCUUGUCCUAGGCAGUUAGCUCCGCCCUUGGGGUGGGAAGAGCCUAAGAGUGUUCUGAGCAGAAGCUCGCCUCUUCUCUUGCCUCUGCCUUCUGGAUGUUUCCUCCACAGCCAACUCGGCCCAGACCAAGCCUGAAGGAGGCAGCCUGUGAUGGGGGCCCACUCAGAAGACCCCCAGCUGUGCUGGGCCUCCCGGCUCCUGGGGUUCAGCAGCCUCGUCCUCAGGCCUCCUGGGUGGCUCAGUCGGUUAAGCUUGGGAGUUCAGCUCAGUCAUGAUGUCACGGUUGGUGGGCUUGAGCCCCCAGUGGGAAUCUGUGCUGACAGCUGGGAGCCUGGAGCCUCCUUGGGAUUCUGUGCCUCCCUCUCUGUCUGCCCCUCCCCCGCUCUCACUCUGUCUCUGUCUCUUGAAACUAAAUCAAUGUAAAAAAAACAAAAAACAAUAAAAUAAAAUAAAUGCUAUCUUCUUAAAUAAAUCCUGCUCUCUGGAUCACAGCCACCUGUGUCCCUGGCCGUCUGUCUUUCUGUCCUUCUGUCCUUCCUCUCUGGGAUUAGCACCUUCUGCUGAUCUGAGAGCUCUCACUGCCUUCCUCCCAGCUUGAGUCGGCUUCCAGCCUCCUGAAGCCCAGGCUCACCGUCCAGCCUGGGGGGCAGGCCCCCCCCGCAGCCUGAGGGCUGAGCCUCCUCCCUCCCUGGUUCCCUCCUUGCCAGCAGGUGCCCGAGGUCUUGCCCUGCCACAGGCGGACAGGUACCUGGGUGCCCUUUCCCAGGAGAAUAGCUGGGGCGUGAGAGCCCAGGACUGCUGGGAGCCGCUGAGAGUGAGCCCCUGCGCAGGGCAGGGGGAGAGGUGCAGGCAGCUCCCUGCAGGGGAAGCCCUGGGCUGGGGGAGAGCGAAGCCAGCUCCAUGGGCAGCAGCCCAGUGGAGAGAAAUGGGGAGAUGCCCACACCAUGUGGAGCCACAGUACCCGGCCCUCCCUCGUCUCUAGGACGCUGCCCCCCCCUGCACAGGUGUGCUCAGUUUCUUCCUGCUGUGGACUUGACAGGGACCAUGGAAACCAGCUGCCGUGGACAUGGCUCUGAGAGCUUCAUGGCUCUGAGUGGAAGGCCCGGGGGGACUUUGGCUCCCGUGGCCGCCUGUGGGGCGGCACCAUGGGUGUCUGUCUCCCGGGAGCCCGUCCCUGAUCCCGGGAGGAGACCCCGAGAGGGCAGCUGGUGGGGAGCACAGGGCUCCAUCCGGGACCUGGGAAGUUUGGGGCGGACCCCAGUUGUGCCUGCCAGGAGCAAGCAUCGUCCUGAUGGGAACAGCUCACGCCUAAGGAAAGCUCGCGCCUUCUGACACCCCAGCAACAGUUCCCUGAGGGGAGCACGGUCAUUGUCUCUGCAUCAGAGACUCAAGGAGAAGGCAGGGAGGUUACAUGACUGCCCGAGGCCACAGGCUGCAGAGAGCAGAGGACUCCCGCCUCCCGCCUCCCGGACCCUGCCCCGGUCCUCACCGCCCUGCUGCAAGGGACCUCCUGGUCUGAGACCCAAGCACAGUCCCUUCCGGUCACAUUCACACACCAACACUGCAACCGCAAAAGUUCUAGGAGGCAUCCAGACCGAGUACAAAGCACACCUUUGCUGGGGGGGCCCAUGUUUUUCUGCAAGACGUAAAACCAAUAAGCCUUACAAAUAACGGAUACAUCCAGCUUCUUGAGGCUGAGAGCAGGGCCAGAGUCCACAGACAGAGGUGACGUGCACGUUGGAGAAGACUUACGUUAUGUGUGUUAGAAAACAGGCUGAUUCUCUUACGACAGGUGCGGCGGCUCCUACAAACUAAUGGGACACAACAGGCCAAGGACACAAGCAGAUCCAAACUGCAUUGGGACGCAGCAGCUGGCACGUGGGGACAGGGACCUGCCGUCCGGGCCGGACAGCGACAGGCGGGAUGCAGCCGCCUGCCGUCGGAAUGAGGGAGUUAGUGAGGACAUCAUUGCGUAGAAGGAUCUGGAAUCUUCCAGAAGCAAUACUGGCCUGAGCCCUUCUCUGGGUUCUCUGCUUCCUGGGAGAGCCAGGACGGUGUGAGCACAGCGAGGGGGCAGUCCCCGCGUGAGGACAGCUCACGGACCUGGAGAGGGGUCUGGGGCCCUGGCAGGCAGCGGCCCCCAGGAAGUCCUGCCCUGCUGCAGGGGACACAUGGGUCUUCCUUUCAGGACAAGGCGCCUUCAGCACUGUGGUCAACGGUUCUGGAACCCAUGGAUCUCAAGUGGAGGAUUCUGGAAACGUGGUUUCUCUGACGGGAACUCAAGGAGGUUCUGUGUCGUUUCAUGUGACCCAAAGUCCAGAAUCACUUCCAGCAGUCACGCUGGAGAAGAUUUCUUGGGGCAUUAAAUCUGAGUCACACAACACGAUCAUCCUGCUCGUGUCUCCUGGGGAAGAUGUUCCAACAUGGGUCAACUUUGAGGACAAGUUCGAGAAGAGGGUCCAUGUGCUCAACACCACGACCCUGAGGAUUGACAACCUGACCCUUGAGGACAGUGGGCAGUACUGGGCUCGAGUCUCCUUAACCGGAGGAAGAGAAACGAACUGGUAUUUCCACCUCACUGUCUACGAGCCCGUGACCCGCCCCCAGAUCCUGGACAAGACUCCAUCCGUCACACCAGACUGGUGCAAUGUCACCCUGGAGUGCCACGCCCCGGGAACCAGAGAGGACGUGAAUGUGUCCUGGGAGAGCAAGGGCUUCCCCAGGGAGCUGGAGAAGAGAGGGGUCCCAGGACCGGCCCGCAACCCCUGGACCGUGGCUCUGAAGCUGCCUCUGAGCCAGCCCAGCCCCAGCAUCACCUGUGUGGUCAGCAACCCGGGGGACCGGAAAACUGCCACCCGGGACCUUGGGGAAGUCUGUGCCCACGGUCCACAUGGGCCGGACGGGUCUGCCCACCUGCCAGCUGUCCUGGGGGCUCUUGUGGUCGUGCUGCUGAUCCUCGGAGCUGGACUGUACCUUCUGUGCUCGCGUAGGAGGAAGCAGAGCUUGGAGCCUGGGAGAGGCAGGAUCCCAGGAAGAGCACAGGGACCGUUUUGGUGGCGUCCACCCUGCAGGGAAGAUGUUCCAAGACCACAGGAAGCAGGGUUCGGGGGAACCACAUCUCGAACAGGAGAUACCGCUCACGACAGUCUACAGUGAGGUCCGCCACCCAGGCCAGGUCUUGAGGGUGAUUUAACUGGAAGGAGCAGGGAAUCCAGCCUCCCCCCGACACCUCUGUUGUGCGUGUGAUGCCUGCAGCCCUGGUCCUGCUCCCUCCCCCUCUAACUGCUCUCAGCAGGGACCAGAUUCAUCCAACCUCCGUGAAUCUCUAUGCGGACACCUUGUGCCCAAGUUGAGCAGAAAGACACACAUCGCGGCAGAUCGAGGGGGACCUUCGUCGUUAAACGAGUCCAAAGCUGUGGUCCGGUUCCGCUCAGCCUCAGCCCCUUUGGCAACCGUCAACGGAGCCCACUCUCCCCACGUCUGUGCACCGUCCGUCGUCUUGUCCGGACCCUCGGCCUCUGGGACCCAUCGACAUGAAGUCUCAACUUCCAGCCUCGACCGGUUCACCACCAGCCGGCUCAGUCUGUGCUUGAGAGCUGUGUAAAGAGAAUACAAAGUCACACUAGCCAGGGCUCGCUGAGUCCCGGCCCCGUGACGGGCACUGAUCUCAUACCCUCCUCGUUGGUCACUCACAGGGCCCUCGAGACACUGUGUGAGCUGGGUAUCCUUGUGCCCACUUUGCAGACGAGGAGCAGGAGGCCAAAAAGGCUGAGUCUCAAGGCCGCACAGCUGGGGGAGCCCAAGCCGCACCGUAGCCAGGGCCUGUGUCCCAGCCGUCGUCUGGUUUCCUGAGUCCUGGGAAACCUCCUCCCUUGUGUGCGGACGUGCUGGCACCUGGCAGGGCUCCUGUUUCUCAGGAGAAAAGCAGAAGUUUCUAGUUCCUACUAGUUAGCUGUCAACUGACUAGUUAUUAAAACCUGCCUCUGUCCCACAAGGCUACAAGGGCACUGUACACACCCCAAUCCUGAUGGGGCUCCUUGGCACCGGGGACAACCCCCUCUUAAUCCCCUUGUGCGCGACCACAUGCCCCGCCUGCCCUUGCACACCUGCUCAGGGCCUCCGUGACCGUCCCCGGUCUGGAGCACAAACUGUUACAUGUCUGUUCCAUCCUGCUGGUACAAUGGCCCGUCAGUCCCCUCCCCGUUGGCCUCUAUCCUGCCCUCUUGGCAAACACGCUUACUAGUCUGGGGAAGUUUCUGUAGAUUCCUGGGAUUUUCUAUGUAGACAAACAUAAGUAAUGUCUGUGAUCAAGACAGCUUUUCUUUUCCCCUUUCCAAUCUAUAUCUCACUUUAUGUCUUUCUCUUGCCUUAGUGCAUCUGAUGAGACUUUCCCUAGAUGCUGCAGAGGAGCGGUGAGCACAAGCACCGUUUGCUCGUUCCCAACAUUAAGGGAAAGCAUUCAGUUUUCCGCCUUCAACAGUGAUGUUCGCUGUCGGCUUUUCUGUCAAUAUGUUUUAUUACAUGACUCAGUUUCAUUUUCUCUACCUUCGUUCUUAUUUCCUCUCUUCCACUUGCUUUGCAUUUGUUUCGCUCUUAUUUGUAUAGAUUUGUAAGAGAAAUGCUUAAAUUAUAAAUUUGGAGCAUUUCUCCUUUGGCAAACUAUGCUUUGAAUCAUGUUCAUUUCCUCAUAAGCACCUUGUUCGCGUCUUUUCCCACGUUUUGAUGUCUUGUAUGUUCAUUUCCGCUCGCUUCAAAUGUUGAGACAUUUCCCUUCAGGCGCCCUCUUUGACAUUGGCUAUGGAGACUUGUUUCGUUUCCUCCGUAAGUGUUUGGAAAUUUCCCGUCAUCUUUCUGUUAUUAAAUUCUACCCGAGGUCUGUCCCAGUCCGAGAAAACACAUUAUUUCAGGACGCGAAAAAUCGCUGACGUUUGUGUUCUGGCCCAGGAUGGGACACUGUCUUGGGAGCUGAGAGGGCUCUGCAGGCUGCUGGUGGGGCCGAGUGUUCCUCAGACACCAGCCGGGUCAGGCUGGUUCGUGGUCGUGUUCAGCGUCGCGUGUCCUUGCUGACUGCCCGCCUCUCGCCGCGCUGCCGGGACGGGAGUGCUGGGCCCUCUGGCUGCGACGGUGGACGCACCUGUUCCUCCUUUCAGUUCUGCCAUCUUGCCACGUGUAUUUGGUGCCAUGGCACCACGUGCCCUCUUCAGGUGGGCACACGUCGGGGGUUCUCGUCACGUCUUGCUGAACUGACCUUCCGUCAUUGUCCACUAUUCUCCUUUGCCCCUGGUAACUUCCCGGGCUCUGAAGUCUUCUUUCUCUGAUAUUAUUUAGCCUUUCUACGUUUCUUUGGAUUCGUGUUUGUGCGAUCUGGUGGUUCAUUUUAUACGUCACCCGGCUGGGCCACAGUGCCGAGAAUUGCGGUCAAGUAUCAUUCUCCAUGUUUCCGUGAGGACAUGUGGGAUGAGAUAAACUGAAAAGGAUAAACUCUGAGUAGAGCAGGCUGCCCUCCACAACGUGGGUGAGCCGCAUCUCAUCGGGUGAAGGCCUGGAAGCUGCCAAGUCCGACCUCCCCUGAGGAGGAAAGAUUUCUGCAGCAGACGGUCAGGGGACGAGACCUCCAGCACUGGCUCUUCCCUGUGUGUCCAGGCUGAUGACAUUUGGCCUGAACCUCAACAGCAGACCUUCCCUUGUCUCAGCCUGGUUCCCCUCCCUGCAGACUCCAGGCCCGCCAGCCUCUCUAAGAAUGUGCGCCAAACCUGUACAAUGAAUCUCUCUAGACUUGCAAGCAUCCCUUUAACUCUGCUUCCCUGGAGAACCCGGAGGGACACCAAGGCAUGUCUGUUCCUAUCCUUUGACUGUGAACCCAGCUCUGUCGAGCCAGAUGGGAAGUGUGGUCGCAGAGGGAGCUGACCCCCAGCCGUGUGUGCAGCUGCCCGUCCGCCCCCGGCCGAGGCGCCCCCUGGCCAUGCCCUGCCUGUCCUGCUCCUACCCCGUCCCGGCGCCCACACUGAAGGCCCCACACACAUCUCUCUCCCCGCUGCGCACUCGGGCCCUUGGUUCUCCCGGCGGCUGAUUUUCCUGAGAUCCUCUCCCUCGCCCUCUUUUCUCCCUGCUUUUCUCCCACUCUGACUGACCGUCCCAGCGAGAGUCACGGUUCCCUUGUCCCAGGCGUCCACCCAGCCUGAGGGGACUCCCGGGGGACCUUCUGUCCCGGCGGGACCUCGGCCGCCGCGUGAAAACCGUGCCCCGGAACUGGAGGAAGAGGGCGGAGGGGUGAGGGGAGGGAGCCUCGAGGUCACGAGGGGACGGUCCCGCCCUGCCUGCUCCUGCUCAGCUGUGGGACAAGGAGAACGGAGGCGAUGGUGUCGCUCCUGCUCGCGGGAGAGGAUGUUCCUGUGCUGAGUGUUU